rnacentral:rRNA from 1 species
AGAGUUGAUCCUGGCUUAGGAUGAACGCUGGCGGCGUGCCUAAUACAUGCAAAGUGAAACGGGUAUCUUCGGAUACCAGGUCGCGGACGGGUGAGUAAUACAUAGGCAACCUGCCUUUAUGAGGGGGAUAACCGAGGGAAACUUUGGCUAAUACCGCAUGAAGACUCUAAGGCAUCUUAGAGGGAUAAAAGUUGGGAAACAACGCAUGAAGAUGGGCUUAUGGCGCAUUAGCUAGUUGGUGAGAUAGAAGCCCACCAAGGUAAUGAUGCGUAGCCGACCUGAGAGGGUGAACGGCCACAUUGGGACUGAGACACGGCCCAAACUCCUACGGGAGGCAGCAGUAGGGAAUUUUCGGCAAUGGGGGAAACCCUGACCGAAGCAACGCCGCGUGAACGACGAAGUACUUCGGUAUGUAAAGUUCUUUUAAGAGGGAAGAAUGGCCCGUGGAAAGCGGGCGUGACGGUACCUUUUGAAUAAGCCCCGGCUAACUAUGUGCCAGCAGCUGC